GGGAAUUGCUAUGAGGAUACCAAGCUCCCUCUUCUGAGUUAAAGUUGAGGAAAAUUGCUGGCAGAAUCGAACCUAAUUAUUAUAUCGCCACCACUGAGUUG
rfam:Prunus persica cultivar Lovell chromosome G2, whole genome shotgun sequence.